AACGAACGCUGGCGGCAGGCCUAAUACAUGCAAGUCGAACGCCCCGCAAGGGGAGUGGCGCACGGGUGAGUAACGCGUGGGAAUGUGCCCUUAGGUGCGGAACAACGUUUGGAAACGAACGCUAAUACCGCAUAAUAUCUCCGGAUCAAAGAUUUAUCGCCUAGGGAUCAGCCCGCGUUGGAUUAGCUAGUUGGUGGGGUAACGGCCUACCAAGGCGACGAUCCAUAGCUGGGCUGCGAGGAUGCUCAGCCACACUGGGACUGAGACACGGCCCAGAGUCCCAGGGGAGGCAGCUGUAGGGAAUAUUGGAGAAUGGGAGCAACCUUGAUCCAGCCAUGCCGCGUGAGUGAUGAAGGCCUUCGGGUUGUAAAGCUCUUUUAGGUGUGACGAUGAUGAGGUUAACACCAGAAAAAGCUCCGGCUAACUUCGUGCCAGCAGACGCCGUAAAAC
rnacentral:rRNA from 1 species